UCUCCACAAUUGAUCUUCCAUAACGCCAGAAACAGCAUUCACUGCAUUAAGUUCCUCAUUCAUGUUCCAAGGUUUAUCAUCACUCCACCAGAUUAAGAUCCCAUUUUCAACUUCUUCAUCUUCUUUUCCCUCUUGGGGAUACCAUCAGACAGAAGAUGCUUGGGUUAAUACAUCUCAAAUAUUACUUCCUCAGUGGCAGCAACACUCUGUCACUUCAUCUUCUUCUUCUUCUUCUUCUUCUUCUCAGCGAUAUCUAGAGUGAAUCAAGUGGAUUCGGCAAGAUUAGAUAUCGAGAUAUCGGGGAUGUUGAAAGAACAAUUAGUUAAGGUUUUCUGUUAAGGAAUUUCACUUCACAGAUUGUAUAUGAAGCUCAGAAAUCGGUUGGAUGGUUUUCUGAUGAAUCUGAUCGCGGAUCCAAGAAGUGCAUAGUUCCAAUAGAUUAAUUGGGUUUCUUUUGUAUCUUCAAUUUUUGAGAAAUUAAGUAGACAUGGUGGUGAAAUAUGAUCUAUUAACACCAACAAUUCAGGUUUUUGCAGAAAUAAUGGGAGUUUAAUUGUUGCAAAUUUUGUGGAGAUUAUUGUUGUGUUGCAUGCCAGCAUCCGUCUCAGAAAAUUACAUCUUUCCCUGUGAUUUUUUUCCCAGCUUUACUAUGGAGUCAAUAGUUGUGCAAAGGUGUUUGUUGUUAGAUACAAGAAUAUACUGAAGCCACUUUUCUCUGUGCAGCUACUACCAAAUAUGAGCAUGAGUGGGGACUACCUGCAUCAGUUUUUAAUGUACAAAAUAUGGCGAUAAAGAUGAAAGUGACAAAUAGGAACCUUCGUGUCAUGAUCAAAUUCAUCCCAACAGUCAUAUGAUGAAAAAAUGGAUCAGUGAAUAGUGGGAUUAAGAAUUUAAGAUAGAAGGAUGAAUUUGCACGUCCUGAAAUGAUAAUAUACCUAGUGGGAUUAAGAUGGAUGGAUGAAUUUGCACGUCCUGAAAUGGUGAUAUUCAUGAGCUUACCAAGGUUUACAUAUUCAUAACCAAGCUUAGCCAGACCAGUUGAUCCUAAAGCAUCAGUUUUUAUUGAUCCAACAAACACGACACUUAGAGGCACAGGGUUAAAGCUUUGAGGAGUUUCUUGGAUGGUAGCACUGGUGAUCUUGGUGCCUAUGAAGUUCAGCACUGAAUUGCCACGAUGAACAAAAUUACAGCUGCACAUGACAAGUUUGGUGCAGUAGAAUCUACUACAAUCAAAGAUAUCUCAAGUGGGACUCUCGGUGCCUCAUUGUACAUGCAUUCGGAUGAAGUUUGCAACAACGAUACACCUUUAAUAUUUUGACAGUGGUAUACAACAAUACAUGACAAGUAGCAUGUUAAGAUGAAAGCUACAUCUUACAGUGUAUCGAUUCAUCCCGUGUUUCUGCUAUAGAAUUUUCGGAAUAUUGUGCUUAGUAAUCCACAAUCUAAAGGACCUCUACUGGCGUCUGAGUUGGUGUUGGUGGUUAUAAACUUUGUUGAGGUAUUAAGAAAAACAUUAUAAUAAAGCCGUGGCAUUUAAACCUGGUAA